rnacentral:misc_RNA from 1 species
GACCCGAAUCGAUGAAAACCAGUGGCGUUGUGUGCCUCGCAACGCCAUUGUUACGUGUUUGCCGGACGAUCCUAGAACGAAGAAUUGCUCGUCACUACAGCCUGGCUGGUGACGUGUGUUCGAGAAGUUUUUUAGGUGACGGUGAGCAUGACGAGGCAUGUAGGAAUNGUUANCCAGGUCGAAGCANUCGCCUCCUUGGCUAACUAANACAACGUCACUGACGGGGACCCGAANCGAUGAAACCAGUGGNGUUGUGNGCCUCGCAACGCCAUUGUUACGUGUUUGCCGGACGAUCCUAGAACGAAGAAUUUCUCGUCACUUCAGCCUGGCUGGUGACUUGUGUUCGAGUAGUUUUUUUGGUGACGGUGAGCAUGACGAGGCGUGUUUUAUAGUUAGUUGUUCUUCUCUUCGCAUCGUUCGGUGCUUCCUGGGAGCUGUUUUGACUUUGGUUGCUUUCUUGGUUUGAAUGCCUAGUUGGUGGCUAAUGGUUAGGCGGUUUUUGGGGAUGUUUAUCGUAAAGGUGCAUGAGUGGUGUUUGGUUUGUUGCCGGUGGUUGGCUCUCUGCUUUUGCAACAACUUCCACCUGGCAUUCCUCUUCAAUUUAGUCAAGGUUGCAAUUCCUUGAGCGAUUACGGUUUCCUGUGUUGCCUACCUACUUGACGGUAUCGCUUGAUCUAAUCAAAGUCGUAUUUCAUCUUGUGUCAUUUCUAUGGCAUAGGAUGAACCUUAAAGCAAGUUUUAUUAUCCUCCUCGUUGAUGCACAUGCAUCUAUGUUGUGGCUCAUUGAAUUUUGCUUGGUUUUCUGGAUACGGAACAUGAUAUGGGGCGGGUCUCUUGUGAUCCAUGUUUUGCCCUUGUUGAACGUUGUUAUUGUUCCGAGAUGACCGCCUAUCCUGAAUUGGCUUGUUCCACCGGGGUAGGUUUAAGCUGUUGAAGAGCAAUAAUUGCGUUCUUGCUUCUCUAAAACAGACUGUCUUGCCUGGAUUGGGUCAUUCCACCGGGUGGGCCUAUGUCGAAGAGGGAUGC